rnacentral:misc_RNA from 1 species
UGGAUGCCACGCAAAAAAAACUGUCGCUUUUUUUAGGCAAACCAGUCAUCGAGCCAUUUUCGUACAUUUUCGUAAGAAGUGAAGUGCUGGUCAGAAAGUGCGUGUCCCAUCGAUGCAAAUAAAUAGUAAUCGGACGGAGCCAAGUCUGGCGUCCGCGACCGUUGCCACGCACGCCUUCUUCUCGAACAUUUGGCGGAAGGACC